rnacentral:rRNA from 1 species
UACGGAGGGUGCAAGCGUUAUCCGGAUUCCCUGGGUUUAAAGGGUGCGUAGGUGGGCAGGUAAGUCAGUGGUGAAAUCUCCGGGCUUAACCCGGAAACUGCCAUUGAUACUAUCUGUCUUGAAUACCGUGGAGGUGAGCGGAAUAUGUCAUGUAGCGGUGAAAUGCUUAGAUAUGACAUAGAACACCAAUUGCGAAGGCAGCUCACUACACGAAUAUUGACACUGAGGCACGAAAGCGUGGGGAUCAAACAGG